rnacentral:rRNA from 1 species
UUGAACGCUGGCGGCAUGCCUUACACAUGCAAGUCGAACGGCAGCACGGGGGCAACCCUGGUGGCGAGUGGCGAACGGGUGAGUAAUACAUCGGAACGUGUCCAGUUGUGGGGGAUAACCAGUCGAAAGACUGGCUAAUACCGCAUGCGCCCGAAAGGGGAAAGCGGGGGACCGCAAGGCCUCGCGCGAUUGGAGCGGCCGAUGUCCGAUUAGCUAGUUGGUGAGGUAACGGCUCACCAAGGCGACGAUCGGUAGCUGGUCUGAGAGGACGACCAGCCACACUGGGACUGAGACACGGCCCAGACUCCUACGGGAGGCAGCAGUGGGGAAUUUUGGACAAUGGGCGCAAGCCUGAUCCAGCCAUGCCGCGUGUGUGAUGAAGGCCUUCGGGUUGUAAAGCACUUUCGGACGGAACGAAAUCGCGCGGGCGAAUAUCCCGCGUGGAUGACGGUACCGUAAGAAGAAGCACCGGCUAACUACGU